rnacentral:rRNA from 1 species
GAUGAACGCUGGCGGCGUGCCUAAUACAUGCAAGUCGUGCGCACGGACGUGAAGCUAGCUCCUCUGAAGUUAGCGGGGGACGGGAGAGUAACACGUGGAUAACCUACCUAUAAGACUGGGAUAACUUCGGGAAACCGGAGCUCAGACCGGAUGAUAUUUUGAACUGCAUGGCUCAAAAGUAAAAGACGGUCUUGCUGUCACUUAUAGAUGGAUCAGCGCUGCAUUCGCUAGUUGGUAAGGUACCGGCUUACCAAGGCAACGAUGCAUAGACACCAUGAGAAUGUUAUCUGCCAGGCCGGAGCGGAGACACGGUCCCGACUCCUAUGAGAGGCAGCAGUUAGGAAUCCUCGACGCUGGGGGGAAGCAUGACGGAGCAACGCCGCAUGAGUGAUGAAGGUCUUCUGUGCGUAAGACGCAGUUAUUAGGGAAGAACAGAUGUGUCAGUAGCUGAGCAAAUCAUGACGGUACCUGAACAGAAAGCCACGGCUAACUACGUG